GACGAACGCUGGCGGCGUGCUUAACACAUGCAAGUCGAACGGAAAGGCGCUGCUUUUGUGGGGUGCUCGAGUGGCGAACGGGUGAGUAACACGUGAGUAACCUGCCCUUGUCUUUGGGAUAACUUCAGGGAACUGGGGCGAAUACCGGAUAGGAGCUCCUGCUGCAUGGUGGGGGUUGGAAAGUUUCGGCGGUGGGGGAUGGACUCGCAGCUUAUCAGCUGGUUGGUGGGGUAGUGGCUUACCAAGGCUUUGACGGGUAGCCGGCCUGAGAGGGUGACCGGCCACAUGGGGCCUGAGGUACGGCCCAGACUCCUACGGGAGGCAGCAGUGGGGAAUAUUGCACAAUGGGCGGAAGCCUGAUGCAGCAACGCCGCGUGCGGGAUGACGGCCUUCGGGUUGUAAACCGCUUUCGCCUGUGACGAAGCGUGAGUGACGGUAAUGGGUAAAGAAGCACCGGCUAACUACGUG
rnacentral:rRNA from 1 species